UACGUAGGUGGCGAGCGUUGUCCGGAUUUACUGGGCGUAAAGGAUGCGUAGGCGGAUAUUUAAGUGAGAUGUGAAAUACCCGAGCUUAACUUGGGUGCUGCAUUUCAAACUGGAUAUCUAGAGUGUGGGAGAGGAGAAUGGAAUUCCUAGUGUAGCGGUGAAAUGCGUAGAGAUUAGGAAGAACACCAGUGGCGAAGGCGGAUCUCUGGGCCUUACCUGACGCUCAGGUGCGAAAGCUAGGGGAGCGAACAGG
rnacentral:rRNA from 1 species